GGAGAGGUGGCUGAGUGGUUGAAAGCUUUAGAUUGCUAAUCUAAUGUACGUCGUAAGAUGUACCGUGGGUUCGAAUCCCAUCCUCUCCU
rnacentral:tRNA from 1 species